rnacentral:rRNA from 1 species
UACGUAGGGUGCAAGCGUUGUCCGGAAUUAUUGGGCGUAAAGAGCUCGUAGGCGGUUUGUCGCGUCUGCUGUGAAAACUCAGGGCUUAACCCCGGGCCUGCAGUGGGUACGGGCAGACUAGAGUGCGGUAGGGGAGACUGGAAUUCCUGGUGUAGCGGUGAAAUGCGCAGAUAUCAGGAGGAACACCGGUGGCGAAGGCGGGUCUCUGGGCCGUAACUGACGCUGAGGAGCGAAAGCAUGGGGAGCGAACAGG